ACACAUGCAAGUCGAACGGUGAAGCCCAGCUUGCUGGGUGGAUCAGUGGCGAACGGGUGAGUAACACGUGAGCAACCUGCCCCUGACUCUGGGAUAAGCGCUGGAAACGGCGUCUAAUACUGGAUACGAGUAGCGACCGCAUGGUCAGUUACUGGAAAGAUUUAUUGGUUGGGGAUGGGCUCGCGGCCUAUCAGCUUGUUGGUGAGGUAAUGGCUCACCAAGGCGUCGACGGGUAGCCGGCCUGAGAGGGUGACCGGCCACACUGGGACUGAGACACGGCCCCAGACUCCUACGGGAGGCAGCAGUGGGGAAUAUUGCACAAUGGGCGCAAGCCUGAUGCAGCAACGCCGCGUGAGGGAUGACGGCCUUCGGGUUGUAAACCUCUUUUAGCAGGGAAGAAGCGAAAGUGACGGUACCUGCAGAAAAAGCGCCGGCUAACUACGUGCCAGCAGCCGCGGUAAUACGUAGGGCGCAAGCGUUAUCCGGAAUUAUUGGGCGUAAAGAGCUCGUAGGCGGUUUGUCGCGUCUGCUGUGAAAUCCGGAGGCUCAACCUCCGGCCUGCAGUGGGUACGGGCAGACUAGAGUGCGGUAGGGGAGAUUGGAAUUCCUGGUGUAGCGGUGGAAUGCGCAGAUAUCAGGAGGAACACCGAUGGCGAAGGCAGAUCUCUGGGCCGUAACUGACGCUGAGGAGCGAAAGGGUGGGGAGCAAACAGGCUUAGAUACCCUGGUAGUCCCACCCCGUAAA
rnacentral:rRNA from 1 species